AUUGAACGCUGGCGGCAGGCCUAACACAUGCAAGUCGAGCGGAUGAAGGGAGCUUGCUCCUGGAUUCAGCGGCGGACGGGUGAGUAAUGCCUAGGAAUCUGCCUGGUCGUGGGGGAUAACGUCCGGAAACGGGCGCUAAUACCGCAUACGUCCUGAGGGAGAAAGUGGGGGAUCUUCGGACCUCACGCUAUCAGAUGAGCCUAGGUCGGAUUAGCCAGUUGGUGGGGUAAAGGCCUACCAAGGCGACGAUCCGUAACUGGUCUGAGAGGAUGAUCAGUCACACCGGAACUGAGACACGGUCCAGACUCCUACGGGAGGCAGCAGUGGGGAAUAUUGGACAAUGGGCGAAAGCCUGAUCCAGCCAUGCCGCGUGUGUGAAGAAGGUCUUCGGAUUGUAAAGCACUUUAAGUUGGGAGGAAGGGCAGUAAGUUAAUACCUUGCUGUUUUGACGUUACCAACAGAAUAAGCACCGGCUAACUUCGUG
rnacentral:rRNA from 1 species